ACCCAUCUGACGAGUCCCAAAUAGGACGAAACUAGUGUCUUAGAA
rnacentral:hammerhead_ribozyme from 1 species